AUGUUGUGUUUGUUGACAUGUUUUCAGGUGGAAGCAGAAUUUGUGAGGAUUACUACUGCUCCACUUGUUCCAAGGCUUUUUGCACAACUUGACCAAUACACCAAUGACCAGCUCAUAAAAGUCUUCAAGAAAAAAGGAGGCGCUGCAGGGAAGAAAAUUAGACAAAUUUUGGCCCCACCCACACAGAAGGAAACUACCUCUUUACAUGAAUGAAGACCCAAGCAUCCUCUUCAAAGAAUACCUGCUACAGCUAUAGCUGUUCAAAGGGAGCUGGAACAAAUUACCCUUGCUAUCUUCACCAUCGAAAGAGCUGAUGCCAGCACUCCUCCAGCCGAUGUGGGUAUAACUGUCGAGGGUGUUCUGCAUGACCUGGAAGACAUGGCCUCUGCAUGUGCACUCUUAAUGGGUGGGAUAUAUGCACUGAAUCUCAGUUAACCUCGAAACUGAAAACUUUCUUUGAAAUACUUCAGAACCUCUUCCUUCAUCUGGAUGUCAGCAGACUCUUGACCAAGGUACAGAUGCUCAAGAAUAAACUGAACGAAUAAGCCAAUCCUUAAUUUGGAUGAUGAAUGUUCUGUCAGAUGGACAGAAGUUUUUCGGAGGCUGAAUGGGAAUAAAAUGGUAAUUUGUUGAAAAUGACAGAUAAAGGGAAAACCUACAUUUGAGAGAAAUUUAGAAAAUUUAGAAAAGUUUGUAAACUACUACAAUUAGAGAG